UCAAAUUCAUCACUUUUCUUUCUAAUACAAGCGUGACAAAUAAGAAGGGAGAGAUGAUAGCAGAAGCAGAAACAGAGUCUUCCCAGUGUUGGUUCUAGAGUUACGUCCGCCGGCAAAUCUCAACGUUUCUUCUCCUCUACGCGCAAAUGAAAGGAGAUGAUGAGUCAGGAUGAGAAAUGGAGAAAACGGUGAAGCAAAAUCCUGAGAAGAAGAACGGAGAGAAAAUAGCGCUUGAGCAAAGGCAAUUUCUUGCAAAACUGCAGAAUAGGGAAAUUAAAUGGGAAAAAUGUCAAAAAAAUCUCCAACUUUCAAAUUGUAGACGAAAAAAUCAUGAAUUUUCGAAAGGUCAUUUAAAUCUUAAACUUUUAUUUGACUUUCGAAUAAAAUGGUGAAGUUUUAUUGA